GCGGGCGUCGUAUAAUGGUAAUACCUCUGCUUUCCAAGCAGAUGCCAGGAGUUCGAUUCUCCUCACCCGCUCAA
rnacentral:tRNA from 1 species